AAUAAGUGCAGCCAUGGUUUUCCGCGUCCAACUUUGUUGUUAUGAGAUGAUAAAAUAUGAAUAGUACUUUACUCGUGACUUAUGUUUUUAAUUUUUUUCAAAAAAAUUUCAAAUAAGACGGACGGUCAAAGUUGGACGCGGAAAAACAUGGCUGCACUUAUU
rfam:Oryza glumipatula chromosome 3, whole genome shotgun sequence.